ensembl:lncRNA
AGAUCUUGCGCUGACUGCCCACGACAAUAAAAGAAAGCAUUCUAACUUGUUGCCUUUUUGUUGUGAAUGCAGUGGACGAAGGACGUGCCAGUGGCCCUGGGACCUCAGGUGGUGGGUCGUUUUCACACUUUCUUUUGUACAGCACCUGGUGGGCUGCAGUGAUUUUCUUUUUGGGUCCACGGCUGCUGAUCUCACAGCAUCGUUGGUGCACCUGUGUCCAAUAAAUGCAGAACAGGGAAGAAGGAUGAACCAAUAGGAAUGUUUGAGACAUGAUGGAAAGGCUUCACCAAACUGGUCACUCUUGGCCUCCCUCCUCUCACAUGUGCCUGGAUAAAGGAUUUCCUCACAAACCGGCCCCAGACUGUGAGACUCGGCCCUCAUCUCUCCUCCACUCGCACACUGAGCACCGGCUCCCCACAGGGCUGUGUGCUGAGCCCCCUCCUGUAUUCUCUCUACACCCACGACUGCAGUCCGACCCACAACAACACUCUCAUCAUCAAGUUUGCUGAUGACACCACGGUAGUCGGACUCAUCUCAAAGGGAGACGAGGCAGAGUACAGAGAGGAAGUCCUGAAGUUGGCAGCCUGGUGUUCAGAGAACAACCUGGCACUGAACACCAAGAAAACCAAAGAGCUCAUUGUUGACUUCAGGAGACACAACACCGACUUGGCCCCCCUCUACAUCAACGGGGAGUGUGUGGAGAGGGUCCACACCUUCCGGUUCCUUGGUGUCCUCAUCUCUGCUGACAUCUCCUGGACGGAAAACAUCUCAGCGGUCAUCAAGAAGGCCCAACAGCGACUGCACUUCCUGAGAGUCCUCAGGAAGUACAAGCUGAACUCCAACCUGCUGCUGACCUUCUACCGCUCGUCCAUUGAGAGCCUGCUAACCUACUGCAUCAUGGUAUGGUACGGCAGCUGCACCAAGGCAGAUAGAGUGAGGCUUCAGAGUGUGGUCAAGACAGCACAAAAGAUCAUCGGCUGCCCUCUCCCUCCCUGAUGGACAUUUAUUCCUCCCGCUGCCUCAGCAGAGCAGCAAACAUCAUCAAGGACAGCUCCCACCCUGGCUUCAACAUGUUCAGCCUGCUUCCCUCAGGGCAGCGCUACAGGUGCAUCAGCACAAAAACCCACAGACUCAAAAACAGUUUCUUCCCCAAAGCGAUAACCACCCUGAACUCACACAUGCACCGAUAACACAGCCCCCCACUUCCCACUUCCUCUAUGGACCACCACUAUUUAUACCAAUUCCAUGUGCAAUAACUCAACUGUACAUACAUAACACUAUUUAUUACAUAUUACUUACGGCUUGUAAAUUGUACAUUUUAUAUAUAUAUACACAUCUUCUUCCAUAUGUUAAUACUGUCCAUAUGUAUAUAGCGCUGCAGAACUGUACCCCC